CCAAAGCAUUCUCUGGUGUUGAAGGCCCUGCAAAGCAGCAUCGCGGUGGCGGAGCGUCGUUUGCGACGCCCAACACACAAAACAAGCGGUGAAUGCUUUGGGGUGGGGUGACUGCGUACCUUUUGUAUAAUGGGUCAGCGACUUAUAUUCUGUAGCAAGGUUAACCGAAUAGGGGAGCCGGAGGGAAACCGAGUCUUAAUUGGGCGUUAAGUUGCAGGGUAUAGACCCGAAACCCGGUGAUCUAGCCAUGGGCAGGUUGAAGGUUGGGUAACACUAACUGGAGGACCGAACCGACUAAUGUUGAAAAAUUAGCGGAUGACCUGUGGCUGGGGGUGAAAGGCCAAUCAAACCGGGAGAUAGCUGGUUCUCCCCGAAAGCUAUUUAGGUAGCGCCUCGUGAAUUCAUCUCCGGGGGUAGAGCACUGUUUCGGCUAGGGGGCCAUCCCGGCUUACCAACCCGAUGCAAACUGCGAAUACCGGAGAAUGUUAUCACGGGAGACACACGGCGGGUGCUAACGUCCGUCGUGAAGAGGGAAACAACCCAGACCGCCAGCUAAGGUCCCAAAGUCAUGGUUAAGUGGGAAACGAUGUGGGAAGGCCCAGACAGCCAGGAUGUUGGCUUAGAAGCAGCCAUCAUUUAAAGAAAGCGUAAUAGCUCACUGGUCGAGUCGGCCUGCGCGGAAGAUGUAACGGGGCUAAACCAU
rnacentral:rRNA from 1 species